rnacentral:lncRNA from 1 species
ACAGCACAUCUCCCUAAAUGAUGGCAUGCCAGGCUGGUGAACACUAACCUCCAAGAGAGAAGUCAUCUGUCACCGGGCUCUCAGACAGCUUGCCUUAACCCACAGACUUCUAAGGCAGAGAAUGCUAUAUGGGAACCUGGAAGGACAUUACUAUCAGAGCAGCAGACAGAGAUUUAAAUAGAAACAUCUUUCCAACACUCACACCAAAUUUGGGAAGUGAAGCGACUAAGAUGUCCGCAAAGUGAAGAGGAACCUGGCUCACACCUCAGGUGAUUCAGGCAGCACUGUGCUCCAGCACUCAGGAUGAUGCAGGUUGCUCUCGCCAGCUGUGCUCCAGGCUCUCCCUCUUAGGGUGUGAUUUAGGGGCUAUUUCCAGUCUAAUGGGAUAAUUUAUAACCCAGUCCCUAAAACCAAGAGGACUGCAGUUCUGUGGCUGAGAAUUGUAGAAUUUCAGAGCUGCGAAUGAAAAUCAGAUCCAACCCAAACAAACCAAGUAAUAACAGCAACAACGAUAAAGCAAGGAGCCAAACACCCCCAGCCACCGUGCGGCAUCUAAACCCCAGCCCCCGCCCCUUGCAGCGGCAGAAUCCGGGAUUUCACGGCUGUGACAGCAGGUGACGAAUCCCUAAGACCCGACUCUGCCAGAAUUCCUGUCUCUUCCUGGAAGUCCUGCCACUUCUCUACUCCCUCGCUGUAGGCCUUUUAGCUCUUCAUGGGUAUCCUAUUUUCUGGCUGGAAACUCCCUAUACAGACCAGGCUGGACUUAAUCUUGCAGUAAUUCACCUGCCUUUGCCUCCUGAGAGCUGAGAUCACAGACACGCACCACUACCCCUGGCUUUCUGUUUAAUGUGAAUGGUUUAUGCCAAUUUUUAAAUCCAUUUCCUCUUUUUCCUGUAAUCCAUUAAUCUCUGCGUUAAUUUUUAUUAUUUCCAUGC